GAUGAACGCUGGCGGCGUGCCUAAUACAUGCAAGUCGAACGGGGAGUAGCAAUACUCUUAGUGGCGAACGGGCGAGUAACGCGUUGGUACCUGCCCCGAAGCGGGGGAUAACGGACCGAAAGGUCCGCUAAUACCCCAUGUGCUCGGUAACGAGUAAAGGUGAAAACCACUUUGGGAGGGGCAUGCGUCCCAUCAGCUAGUUGGUAAGGUAACGGCUUACCAAGGCGAUGACGGGUAGGGGACCUGAGAGGGUGGCCCCCCACAAUGGAACGGAAACACGGUCCAUACUCCUACGGGUUGCAGCAGUAGGGAAUAUUGGUAAUGGGCGCAAGCCUGAACCAGCAACGCCGCGUGUGCGAUGACGGCCUUCGGGUUGUAAAGCACUUUUGACUGGGACGAGGAAGGACGGUACCGGUCGAAUCAGCCUCGGCUAACUACGUG
rnacentral:rRNA from 1 species